UACGUAGGGUGCAAGCGUUGUCCGGAAUUAUUGGGCGUAAAGAGCUCGUAGGCGGUUUGUUGCGUCGGCUGUGAAAUCCCGAGGCUCAACCUCGGGUCUGCAGUCGAUACGAGCAAACUAGAGUGUUGCAGGGGAGACUGGAAUUCCUGGUGUAGCGGUGAAAUGCGCAGAGUAUCAGGAGGAACACCGGUGGCGAAGGCGGGUCUCUGGGCAACAACUGACGCUGGAGGAGCGGAAGCGUGGGGAGCGAACACGG
rnacentral:rRNA from 1 species